rnacentral:rRNA from 1 species
AACGAACGCUGGCGGCAUGCCUAACACAUGCAAGUCGAACGAUUGCCUUCGGGUGAUAGUGGCGCACGGGUGCGUAACGCGUGGGAAUCUGCCCUUAGGUUCGGAAUAACAGCUGGAACGGCUGCUAAUACCGGAUGAUAUCGCGAGAUCAAAGAUUUAUCGCCUGAGGAUGAGCCCGCGUUGGAUUAGGUAGUUGGUGGGGUAAAGGCCUACCAAGCCGACGAUCCAUAGCUGGUCUGAGAGGAUGAUCAGCCACACUGGGACUGAGACACGGCCCAGACUCCUACGGGAGGCAGCAGUGGGGAAUAUUGGACAAUGGGCGCAAGCCUGAUCCAGCAAUGCCGUGUGAGUGAUGAAGGCCCUAGGGUUGUAAAGCUCUUUUACCCGGGAAGAUAAUGACUGUACCGGGAGAAUAAGCCCCGGCUAACUCCGUG